CUCGGCUCACUGCAACCUCUGCCUCCCAGGUUCCAGUGAUUCUCCUGCUUCAGCCUCCCAAAUAGCUGGGACUACAGGGAGCAGAAAAGGAUUCCUGUUAUUCAGACAUUCAACUGAUUAUUUUUCGUCGCCAAGGGAAACAGGUUCUCUUAGAUUCCGUCUGACCACACUUUCAGAAUAAAUUACCUACAGUUUUCCUCUAAAUGAAGAAUGAAGCUAAACCCCAUUCACUAAUUUCCUUAACCAAAAGCAAAAUUAAGGCCACAAGAUAAAUACAAAGGAGUAUUCAAAGAAGGUCUUAAGGGCUGGGCAUGGUGGCUCACAUCUGUAAUCCCAGCACUUUGGGAGGCUGCAGCAGGCGGAUCACUUGAGGCCAGGAGUUCAAGACAAGCCUAACCAACAUGGUGAAAUCCCGUCUCUAUAAGAAAAACAAAAAUCAGCUGUGCAUGGUGGCGCAUGCCUGUAGUCUCAGCUAUUCGUGAGGCUGAGGCAUGAGAAUCGCUUGAACCCGGGAGGCAGAGGUUGCAGUGAGCCAAGAUUGCACCAUUGUGCUCUAGCCUCGGUAAUAGAGUGAGACUGUCUCAAAAGAAACAAAAACAUCAAAUAAGGUCUUAAAAGUAUGGGCUCAAAGCUUUUGUUUUUGACAAUCAUGACAGCAGUCAGCAAACAAGAUACUUGUCAGCAUUCAAAACAUUAUCAGUUGCUCUAAUUCUAAUGCCUGAUUAAACUAUUCCCAAGAGAGGACAGGAACUAUUGUCCCAAGUCAGCAGUGUGGUGAGCGGCACUCGCCAGAACCUGAUGUUUCUAAGACGAAAAGGGGAACCCAGGACACUAUUCAAGAGAGACUGGGGGAGGAAACUAUUUUAGAGCAACAAUUUCUUACUUUGGUGAUGGUAUGGAAUGCUGUUUGGGAUGCUUGCAUGCUAGUUUCAGGGCACUGCUGCUAUCUAGCACACAUCAUUUUUUUGGUCAGAAUCUUCUACUACAACUUGUUAUCUUACAAUAAUCUGCCAACACGAUGAAACCUGCCAGGUCCUGGUUAGCAUUAUGGCAGCAAUAUGUGAGCUUCUCUGCAGAAAAGGGAUAACAACAUGCUUAAGCUAUCUAAUCCA
rnacentral:lncRNA from 10 species